rnacentral:rRNA from 1 species
AAUCAACGCUGGCGGCGUGCCUCAGACAUGCAAGUCGAACGAUUAAAGCUCUCUUCGGAGAGUGCAUAGAGUGGCGCACGGGUGAGUAACACGUAAGUAAUCUACCUUCGAGUGGGGAAUAACGUCCGGAAACGGACGCUAAUACCGCAUAAUGCAGCGGCAUCGCAAGAUGACAGUUGUUAAAGGAGCAAUUCGCUUGAAGAGGAGCUUGCGGCAGAUUAGCUAGUUGGUAAGGUAAUGGCUUACCAAGGCUACGAUCUGUAGCCGACCUGAGAGGGUGGUCGGUCACACUGACACUGAAUAACGGGUCAGACUCCUACGGGAGGCAGCAGUCGGGAAUUUUGGGCAAUGGGCGAAAGCCUGACCCAGCAACGCCGCGUGAAGGAUG